UACAUGGGGUGCAAACGUUGCUCGGAAUCAUUGGGCGUAAAGCGCGCGUAGGCGGCCCGGUAAGUCCGCUGUGAAAGUCAAAGGCUCAACCUUUGAAUGUCAGCGGAUACUGCCGGGCUAGAGUCCGGAAGAGGCGAGUGGAACUCCUGGUGUAGCGGUGGAAUGCGCAGAUAUCAGGAAGAACACCAACGGCGAAGGCAGCUCGCUGGGACGGAACUGACGCUAAGGCGCGAAAGCGUGGGGAGCGAACAGG
rnacentral:rRNA from 1 species